CCUACGGGGGGCAGCAGUGGGGAAUAUUGCGCAAUGGGCGAAAGCCUGACGCAGCGACGCCGCGUGAGGGAUGAAGGUCUUCGGAUCGUAAACCUCUGUCAGCAGGGAAGAACGGUCACUGUGCUAAUCAGCAGUGAAUUGACGGUACCUGCAAAGGAAGCACCGGCUAACUCCGUGCCAGCAGCCGCGGUAAUACGGAGGGUGCGAGCGUUAAUCGGAAUUACUGGGCGUAAAGCGCUCGUAGGCGGUAUGUCAAGUCAAGGGUGAAAUCCCCGCGCUCAACGUGGGAACUGCCUUUGAAACUGGCAAGCUGGAGUGUGUGAGAGGGUAGUGGAAUUCCAGGUGUAGGGGUGAAAUCCGUAGAUAUCGGGAGGAACACUCGUGGCGAAGGCGGGUUGCUGGACAUUAACUGACGCUGAGGCACGAAAGCCCGGGGAGCGAAAAGGAUUAGAUACCCUGGUAGUC
rnacentral:rRNA from 1 species